AUGGACAGUGGCGGCAGCGGCAGCAGCAGCAGCAUUGGCGAACAGACCACAAAUCUAUAGAUAGACACAAAAAAGAAGCAGGUCUACGGCCCAACAGCAGCGCGGCAUACGUGUCGCCGUUUCUCUCUCGACCGUCGCGCCACCAUCGGGUAGGUCCUUUACAUAGACAUGCAUUCGCAGCACACAUACAUAGACGCAUACAAAUCUAUCGAAGCCCCGCCCCUGCUCGCAUCUUUUCACCCCCUUCAUUGUCAACCGUCAUUUCUUCUGCACAGCAGCUAUGUUGCGCCGCAGCGUGCGUGCGUUGGAGAAGUUGGUGAUUGUCGAGUCACCCAACAAGGUCAUAAAGGUGGAGGGGCUCCUGAGCGACCCAAAGGUAAUACCGGACUGGUCGUUCAACAAUAGCAAGCUCCGUGCUAUCAGUACUGGCGCGGAGAAAGCGAUUGCUAUGGCCACGACAGGGCACUUCAUGUCUCUGAAGGAGCUGACGUGGUCUCCGCAGUCGUCCAGCCCCGCUUCGAGAGUCACAGCCGCGGACUUCCCUUCCAACGGCCUACUCGUCAGCUUCUCGCUUGAGUGGGAGCUGAUCCCUGGGCGCCGCAUCCAGGACACGGUAUCGCACUACAUCGAGGAGAAGGCGGAUAACCUGACGGAGAUUAUCGUCGCGACUGAUCCCGAUCGUGAGGGAGAGCUGAUCGCGGUGCACGCGCAGAACCUGAUUCGAAGCAUGUUCCCACAGCUCAACGUCCCUUUCACGCGCGCGUACAUGCACAGCAUCACCGCCGAGGGAAUCCGCCGCGCCAUGGAGGAGCGGCACGAGGCGUUUGACUACAACCUCGCCAACGCUGCAGAGGCGCGGCACGCAAUGGACCGCAUCUUUGGCUUUCUUGGGAGCUCGGUGGUACGCUACGCCAACCCGCAGAUGCGCUCCAUCGGGCGAGUGCAAACACCAGCGCUCAUCCUAAUAAAGGACCGGGAGGACAAGAUCAAGUCAUACCUCGACUCUCACGCCUCCACGUUCGAGAUUCAGGCAGUGUGCUAUUUCACCUCCAAGCAGAACCACCGCUUCUCCCAGGUGGUGAAGGUGACGCCGGCGCACAAGGGCGGCGCCGCGCCGGUGGACUGGAGCGACGAGGCGACUGUCAAGCAGCGGUGCGAGCAGUGGGCGCUGAGCUCGGCCACCCACUUUAGCGUCUCGCCCGGCGCAAAGCCGCAGGAGACCGUGACACCCCCACCGAAGCCGUUUACGAUGGCCACGCUCAUCGCCAGGGCGAACCGGCAGCUGCACUACUCCAGCGAUAUGGUCAGCUUAUGCCUACAGGACCUGUUCCAGAUGGGCUACAUCACCUACCCGCGCACGGACAGCACCCGCAUCGACGAGUCGAUUCUGCCCUCCAUCUACGCGGCCGUGCGCAGAGAGCACGGUAAGCGCCUUCUGCAGGAGCAGGAUGGUCCGCCCAAGUCAGGCUCGCGUCGCUCAACUGCACAGAAGGAAGCGGCGGACGCCAACGUUGAGGACGCGCAUGAAGCGAUCCGGCCCACCAAUAUUGACACUACCGUCGAGGAGCUUGGUGCUGUAUCCGCGCCGAUGAAGCACAUUUACGACCUGGUGCGCCGCAACACGAUGGCGGUUCACAUGAUCCCGAUGAAGACGGAGCGGAUUGUGGUGCUGGUGGCGUGCAAGGCUGCCAACGGCGAGGAGGUGGAGUUUGAGCUGCAGGGCAAGCACGUCGUGGAGCCGGGCUGGUCAGCUGCCUUCCGCGGUAGCAAAGGCACAGCGACGCCAGUGACAGAGACAGAUCAGGAUAUGGAGGCAGUAGAAGACGGCGGCGUCGUUGUUCCGAGCAUCUCCGACGACGAGUUCAAGGCGAUCAUGGACUUUGCUGCCCAGCGCGGAGGCGGAACAGGAGUCAAGAAAGGCAGCAUGCAGCUGGAGUCGGCGCAAGUCGCGGAGAACCGACCAAGCCCACCGCUGCCGUUCUCGGAGGGUGGUUUGAUCGAUCAGCUCAAGAACAACGGCGUGGGGCGGCCGAGCACGUACCCGAUGAUCGUUAAGACGCUACUCGCACGCAACUACAUCACAGUCAAGAAGGGACGGUGCGAGACCACCCCGGUAGGGCGCAUGCUGGUGGACACCUCCCGAGCCACGUUCCCCUCCAUCGUCGACAUCGGCUUCACCUCCGCGUUUGAGAAAAAGCUUGACCGCAUCGCAAAGCCGUGUAGCGCGAAAGAGUGGGCGCUGCCGCCGAACGUGUCGGACGCGGACUACGUGCUCUCAUCUUUUAUCUCCAACUUCUUGAACUACGUGACAGAAGCGACCAAGGCACACCGAGUCGCCAUCACAACGCGCUCCUUGGCCUUGCAGCAGGAGAAGAGAGUGGCGAGCAACACGCCGAUGUCGCCGACGGACUUCCAGGCGAACCUGGUGAAGGAGACGAAGCGGGUGUUGACGCAGGUGCCGGACCUAGUGGAUAACAUGAAGAGCUACCGCACUUUCACGGCCCUCCAGAACAGCCUGAACGACUACCUGCGGCGCAACUUCCCGCCCUCGGCAGCAGCGGUGGCGCCUGCUUCAUCCUCGGGAACCGCUCGCAGCUACGGCAGCAGCAGCAGCUCCGUAAAGAAAAAGGAGUCACACGGGGCGGCUUGCAAGGUCGACAAAAGGACGCCCCGUCGCUUCCGCGCAAAGCCGAAGAAGCCGAAGAAGUAGCGCAUGGGCCCACGCGCCUGAGCCGGCCUCUCCCCCCUCCCUUCGCUUUUGCUCCGCUCUCUCUAGGCGGCGCCUCCGCACGCUGCGAUGGCAAAUGUGAGAGGAGGUGGGAUGAGCGCGAUGGCGCCGCAACCGAAGUCUUCAUGCCUGUGUUUCACUGAAGCGUUUGUGUGUCCUUUGCGGAGGGUGUUUCCGUACUAAAAGAGGAUGAAAUGCACAAGUGGCAAUAUAAGCACGCUUGCUAACCUCUCCAUUCCCCCUCCCAUCCCACUCCGCCGCCGAAGAGGUACUGCUGAAAUACGUAAA
rnacentral:misc_RNA from 1 species